AUUGUUUUGUUAUUUAGAAUAAUCUAAUAUUGAAUUCAUUAAUAAAAAAUGAGAAUCGUGUGUAAAAGUAAUUCAACUUCCGUAAACAAAGUGUUUAUGCUAUGUGACUUCGUAUACGAAUAUUAUUAAAGUGCAACUGAGACGCCGCUCGAAAUAGAAUGAACGGAGAACGGUUAAAAAUACUUUGCGCUUCUGCUUAGUCGUCGAUGUCCAGUCGUUCCGGUUAACAGUGGUUCUUCGAUAAAAGUGUUUUUAUUUCAGUUGAAAAAUAACAGAUAUAUCCUUUCUGAGAAUAAGAAAAAGGGAGAUGUCUAAAGUAGAGAAAUCAGAUCUCACAGCCGGUGGAGAUGCACCUCCAAUUGAAGCAACGAAGAUCGAUUGCGCUGACAAUACAGUCCCAGUUAUCGAUGUGAAAAGCACCGAUGUAGCGUCGGAAGAUGCACCUACAUUCGUGGAAGAAGUAGCAAAAGAGGUAUUAAACGCAAAGACUGAAAGCGAGCGAACAGUAGAGGUGGUAGCAAAUGAUGCGAACAUACCUGGUGGAGAAGAAGUAAUUAGUCCAGAUGCACAUACUGCAGAGAUUACCAAUGUAAUCGUAGAGAUCGCUCAUGCAGCUGCGGAGGACGAUGUGAAACGAGCCGAGGCGCAAAGAUCCGUUGAAGAGGCUAAUGAUUCUGCGAUUGCUCUUCAAAGUGAAGAAACAACGCAGUCAAAAUCUGCCAGUGAAGAAAAGACCGAUACGUCAAAGCAAAAUGCAAGAGGUAACAAUGCAACGUACAUAUCCAGAUUGGAGGCGGAAGUGCGGGUGAGAAAAUCUUCUGGAAGCCCGGACCCCUGUCCAAAAAGAAUCGAAUCAUCUCGGCUCGAUAAAGAAAAAAGAACGAAGGAGCGCGACAGUUACCGAAAGAAGUUUGAAGACACGGAGACGAAACUAGCCACUUUACAAGAAUCUUACGACGCGAUAAUGAGUCACGGCAGUGAUGAGGAUACCCUACAACAAUCGGUGGAGCAAUUGCGCGGACAAUUGGUACAAACGGCAUUGAUGUACGAGGAACGUAAUCGCGUGGUCGCGAAUCAGGAAAAUCAGAUCAAUGCUCUGAACAAUCAGGUGACCUCGUUGAAGGAGGUGGUAUCGAUCACGCGGGAUCUGCUGCAGAUCCGUAACAUGGAGGUGAAACAGCUGCAAGCUGAGGUCGAUAAUAUGGAGAAGAAGAUCUCAGAGGAACGCGAUCGGCAUAAUACGAUGAUUAGUAAGAUGGACGCGGCGAUGCGACUCAACGCCGAUCUCAAGAAAGAAUAUGAAACCCAGUUAUCUCUGUUUCAAAGUCUUCGCGAAAAAUACGGCGAGAAAAUUACUCUGCUAGCCAGAGAGAAGCAAGCCCUCGAAACGGCCGCCUCUGCACCUGAAUGAAGAUAACGCUUUUGCAUGUUUUCAAUGAGAUUAAUAAAUGUAUUUUAUUAAUGUCACAUAAAUUCUUUUUUAUCUUUCCGUUAUCUACUGUGUAUUAAUAAAGACGAUGUUUUCUUCGUAGCCAUGGAUUUUUCCCAAUAAUGUAAUCAUAGUCAAUCCCGCCAGUAUUCGAAGAACUAAUAUUUCAACAAACGAUGAGCUUGCAUCUUGAAAAUUUGUGCAGUAGAUACAUAAAUAUUAUUCAUACAGAUAAACUGCGCAUAAAAUAUUGUUUAUGACUAGAAUAUCUAUAAUCUACAUUUUAAUUAACAGUCAACGAAAAAUUGGAAUGAACUUUGAAGAAAUUUAUUCUCGAAAUCAGUUUUAAAGAAUUAAAAUUUCAAAAUAUUAAACUCUUAAAAUGGUUAGAAUGGCAACUAUUUGAUUUUCGAUAUUAUACUUUUGUCAGUCUUAAACUAACUUCUAUGAAGAGAAAAUAAAAGCAUAAAUAAAAUUGAGCAAUGAAACAGGACUCUGUCUACUCUGGCUACUUAUUCUUAGAUCAUUCAUGUUCUAUUAAAUAAAUAACUGCAAAAUUGUCGUUUUUUUAUCGUAUGUUUUGCGUCAAUAUCGUGUCAAAAGGGUACUACGCAGAUAUGAAUAAUACGAAGAAAUGAUUUAGCAAUUAAAGUUAUAUAAAACUGCGUUAUCAAUUUAUGGUAGUGAAAAAAUGUUAUUACCGAUAUUAUAAAAACCAACUCGAAGAAUUUACUCCUCGUAAUUUGUCUUGAAAGUGACCAUUGACUGGUGAAAUCAUAAAUAUUACUUGUCAUAAAACGUCAUUUUUUAUAACGUGAUAUAAAAUAGAGAAAAAGAUGAAAACGUUGACGAUAUGCUUACUUGCAUUUUGCAUUGUGGUAGUAUCCUCGAAGCCAUGGAUAUCCGAUACGCAUGAGUUUCUUCCAAGACACCGUACAUUCAGAUUUCCUAGUGUAAACCACUUGAUGAGCUAUAUGAGGCGAAGCAAAGUAAAUCAAAUAGCAAAAGUCGACAAAAUCGAAGACAACAUUGUGCCACCAAAAAUUGAAAUUACACCGACAAUUAAAAUUAACGAAAUAAUAGACAUGCCUGAAUCAAUCCCGAUAGAAAAUCAAGUCGAAACUUGAUUUAAUCAUACUAAUUAAGGAGCAAAAGAGCGAAGAGAUUUGUCAGCCCAAAUACAAGUAGUUGUGAUAAUUACUAGAAAAUAAAUGUUUACUUAUGGAUUGAAAAAUAUUGACACGUUAUGU